GCCCGUGCGGUAGCGCCAAAAUGCAAAUUUGGAGACGCACCCCAAAGGUGCCGGGGCUUCUCCCGUCUCCGUAAACGGGAGAAGC
rnacentral:tRNA from 1 species